ensembl:ncRNA F29G9.11 ncRNA
AAGUGUUGUUUUAUUUAGAAAAGAAGAAAAGAUAGAGACUGAGCAGUUGUUGGCACACGGCCAAAUGACUCUUUUUUGAGUCUUUUUGACACACACACACACACAGAUUUGGUCAUGGGUUAGAUGAAAAAAUGAAGAAAAAGAAGAAAAAAGGAGUGCAUAGAGAGUUCGAAGCGACAAGUGUCACUGGGGACUUGUUGUCCCUUCCGGA